CUGUCCUCUCUAUAGUAACUGAGAACAGAGGACCACACCAUGGGAUGGAGCCAGAUCAUCCUCUUUCUGGCAGCAGCAACUACAUAUGUCCUCUCCGAGGUUCAGCUGCAGCAGUCUGGGGCUGAGUUGGUGAAGCCUGGGUCCUCAAUGAAAAUGUCCUGCAAGGCCUCUGGCUACAGCUUCACCAGCUCCUUUAUGCACUGGGUGAAACAGAAGCCUGAGAAUGGCCUUGAGUGGAUUGGACGGAUUUAUAUUGGAAAUGCUGAUACUAGCUACAGUGAAAAGUUCAAGGGCAAGGUAACACUGACUGCAGACACAACCUCCAGCACAGCCUACAUGCAGCUCAGCAGCCUCACAUCUGAGGACUCUGCAGUCUAUUACUGUACAACACACAGUGUUGUAACCACAUCCUGA